rnacentral:lncRNA from 1 species
CAUGAGAACUCUGGAACAUUUUCAUAGAACUACAGCCCAUCUAAGAUAAAUGUGGUUGAAAGACAUCAACAUUCUGGAAAAGGCCAGAUGAUACAGCUGAAAGCUGCCAGAGAAGGAUCUGUGGUCAGAGCCCAGUGGAACUUGGACUUCCCCUAAAACUGUGUGCGAAGUUGCUGUGGAGUCUGCCCUACCCCUAAGUUUAUAUAAGGUAUGYAGCUGGGUAUGAGGAAGGUGGGACUGCCCUCCCCAUAUAGGAGCACUCCUGUGAUCUGACUGAGCAAUCAUUUGUUGACUCAAGGUAGGUGCGCCUUAGAGAGGAGAACAUGCAAAGAGGCAAAUCUAAAUGCAAAUUUUGAUUUGAGGGCAUAGUC